GCCUUAUCAAGAGUGGUUGAGGGACGGGCCCUGUGAAACCCGGCAACCUGCGUGCGCGCAAGGUGCCAAUUCCCGCGGCAUUAGCCGAAAGAUGAGCG
rfam:Clostridium sp. CAG:226 genomic scaffold, scf126